rnacentral:rRNA from 1 species
GAUGAACGCUGGCGGCGUGCUUAACACAUGCAAGUCGAACGAGAAGUGAAGACGGAAACCUUCGGGCGGAAGGCUUUAUUUCGAGUGGCGGACGGGUGAGUAACGCGUGGGUAACCUGCCUCAUACAGGGGGAUAACAGUUGGAAACGACUGUUAAUACCGCAUAAGACCACAGCACCGCAUGGUGCGGGGGUAAAAACUCCGGUGGUAUGAGAUGGACCCGCGUUCGAUUAGCCAGUUGGCGGGGGAACGGCCCACCAAAGCGACGAUCGAUAGCCGAUCUGAGAGGAUGACCGGCCACAUUGGGACUGAGACACGGCCCAAACUCCUACGGGAGGCAGCAGUGGGGAAUAUUGCACAAUGGGGGAAACCCUGAUGCAGCGACGCCGCGUGAGUGAAGAAGUAUUUCGGUAUGUAAAGCUCUAUCAGCAGGGAAGAAAAUGACGGUACCUGAGUAAGAAACCCCGGCGAACUACGU